GAACGAACGCUGGCGGCGCGCCUAAUACAUGCAAGUCGAGCGAGAAGACGUAGCAACACGUUUGUAAAGCGGCGAACGGGUGAGGAAUACAUGGGUAACCUACCCUCGAGUGGGGAAUAACUAGCCGAAAGGUUAGCUAAUACCGCGUACGCUCCUUGGACUUCGGUUCAGGGAGGAAAGCGAUACCGUGGGUAUCGCGCUCUUGGAUGGGCUCAUGUCCUAUCAGCUUGUUGGUGAGGAACGGCUCACCAAGGCUUCGACGGGUAGCUGGUCUGAGGGGACGAUCAGCCACACUGGCACUGCGACACGGGCCAGACUCCUACGGGAGGCAGCAGUAAGGAAUAUUGCGCAAUGGGCGAAAGCCUGACGCAGCGACGCCGCGUGGGGGAUGAAGGUCUUCGGAUUGUAAACCCCUUUCGGGAGGGAAGAUGGAACGAGCAAUCGUUCGGACGGUACCUCCAGAAGCAGCCACGGCUAACUUCGUGCCAGCA
rnacentral:rRNA from 1 species